UUGGGCGGAGGGGCUCGUUAUGGGAAAGGGGUGCGUGCGCGUUUGUGCUAAAACAAGAAAGGCAAGAAUCUCCGAGAACAAAACUCUGGUCCUCGCCUGGCCGGGGACCGCAGAAGACAGGGGCGGCGGCGCCAAGGCGGGUCAGGGGCCGGUCCAGCCAAGUUUGCUCCGGCUUAGAUAAACUUUCUGAUGGCAGUUUUUCCUGGUUGCAGCCUGGGUUCCUUGUAACCGGAUGGAGACGAGAGAUCUGGACUUCUGAACAUCUACCAGAAAAGAUAAAAUGUGCA
rnacentral:lncRNA from 1 species